AUGACGCUCCUAAGCUAGAACUGCCUUGGCCUUGAGCAGCCUUGGAUAGUUCAAGAGCUAGUAUGCCUUGUGCAUACGUACAAGCCCAAGCUCGUCUUCCUCUCAGAAACUCGGCAAGGUAAUAAGUACCUUAAUAACCUCAAUUGGAGGCUUGGUCUCCAUCACUGUAUUGCACAAUCCGGCAUUGGAAAAGGUGUUGCUAUUGCCCUCUUUUAUGAUGAGUCCGUGGAAAUAAAGAAAAUUGUCGUGGGGGCGAGGUAUAUCAAUGUGUUGAUCCGGUUGAAUCCCUUUGGCUUGCGAUGGAGAGCUAGCUUUGUUUAUGGUGAGCCAAAAGCGCAUGAGCGACAUCUUAUGUGGACCUUAUUACGCAGAAUUAAGGAUACAACAAAUCUUCCGUGGCUAAUGAUCGUAUAUUUUAAUGAAACAAAUCUUCCAUAUAAGAAAUUGUAA
rnacentral:rRNA from 1 species